UACGAAGGGGGCUAGCGUUGUUCGGAAUUACUGGGCGUAAAGCGCGCGCAGGCGGUCUUCCAAGUCAGUGGUGAAAGCCCGGAGCUCAACUCCGGAACUGCCAUUGAAACUGUAAGACUUGAGGAUGAGAGAGGUGAGUGGAAUUCCCAGUGUAGAGGUGAAAUUCGUAGAUAUUGGGAAGAACACCGGUGGCGAAGGCGGCUCACUGGCUCAUAUCUGACGCUCAGGCGCGACAGCGUGGGGAUCAAACAGG
rnacentral:rRNA from 2 species